rnacentral:lncRNA from 1 species
UUAAACACGUAAGCUUGAGGGACUCUAAUAAACCCCAAAUAUCACAGUUUUGGAUAAUAUCAUUGUGAGUUGUAGGAGAGUCAAAGAAGCAAGUCUUAUGUCCAUUAUUACUGGCUUUAUUUUAAUAAUGUACUCCAAAUAAGGUUGGUCCUGAUCCUUUCAUCUACAUUAAACAAAAACAUAUAGAACCAACUUGGAAACUGGUUAAUAUUGUAGUUUAGGUAAUAUUAACAGUAAACAGGUCAUUUUAUUUUCCUUGACUUCAGUUUGUAAAAUACAUUUUAAUGCACAAUAACACUCCCAGUCUUGGUACCUUACGCA